rnacentral:tRNA from 1 species
GGUUAGGACGCCGCCCUUUCACGGCGGAAACAGGGGUUCGAUUCCCCUUGGGCGUACCA